UACAAUAAGAAAUUAAACAUUUCAAUCUUCGGCUUACAAGACCGAUGCUUAUACUUUAGCUUUUAUUGC
rnacentral:tRNA from 1 species